GGGCUAGUAGCUCAGUCGGUCAGAGCCGGCAGCUCAUAACUGCUUGGUCGCGGGUUCAAGUCCUGCCUGGCCCACCA
rnacentral:tRNA from 1 species